AGGAGGGACUGAGGGAACACAGAGGAAAGAGGGAUUUCUACAAAAAUAGACAUAGAAAUAACCGAUAAGUUUAUGAAAUAUUACCAGCCUCGUUAAACAUCAGGCAUGCUAAUUAAGGUGGCUGUUCCUUUGAUGAGCACUACAGCAAUUGUGGUUAUAGUGUGGCUCUGGGGACCAAUGGGUUCGCCUGGGAGCAGAUUAACACAUG
rnacentral:sRNA from 1 species